rnacentral:rRNA from 1 species
UGACGAAGGCCUUCGGGUCGUAAAGCCCUGUCGGAAGAGAAGAAAACGGUAAUGGCUAAUAUCCAUACCGCUUGACGGUACCUUCAGAGGAAGCACCGGCUAACUACGUGCCAGCAGCCGCGGUAAUACGUAGGGUGCUAGCGUUGUUCGGAAUCAUUGGGCGUAAAGCGCGUGUAGGUGGUUAGGUAAGUUAGGUGUGAAAUCCCCUCGGCUCAACCGAGGAAGUGCAUCUAAAACUACCUAGCUAGAGGACGGUAGAGGAAGGUGGAAUUCCUAGUGUAGAGGUGAAAUUCGUAGAUAUUAGGAGGAAUACCGGUGGCGAAGGCGGCCUUCUGGGCCGUUCCUGACACUGAGACGCGAAAGCGUGGGGAGCAAACAGGAUUAGAUACCCUGGUAGUCCACGCCGUAAACGAUGGGUACUAGGUGUUGUAGGAAUUGACCCCUACAGUGCCGACGCUAACGCAUUAAGUACCCCGCCUGGGAAGUACGGCCGCAAGGUUAAAACUCAAAGGAAUUGACGGGGG